CUAAUUAUCUGAGAAUCAUGGAACAUCUUGAGCAAGGGAGCAGAGAGUUGAAGGACGAGAUCGCUCGACUGACUGCCAUGAUGGAGUCAGUGCUAGCUGCUUAGAGCCAAUCCUCUCCAACACCCGCAACUCCUCCUCCUCAUAGGACUGUUAUUUCAGAGAUGGAUACCUCUACCAUGCCUGCUGCUACCGCUCACUUUGCG
rnacentral:lncRNA from 1 species